AAAUUUAAUAUUGUUUCCCAAUACAUAUUUACGUCCAUAGAAGAUUUGUAAUAGGUGUUUGUUUCCUGAGUUUUAAAGGCUUUCAAGAUUGUGGUAGAAUCUUGACGAGGGCAGUUAUACUAGGAAGGGUGAAAGAUGUUAGAGUUAGCCCCUUUGGUUAUAGAGUUGUAACCUAAUACCAUUUUUGUAAGUGGAGAUUUGAGGUAAAUCCUAGUUUUUAUUCCCUUUAUCAAUAAACUUGUGUUUUACUAUUCUGUAUUUACAUCUUGAUUGCUGAUGAAAAUUGUUCGGUCUAUUUUCCAGACUGCUAUUGAAUCAGUAAAAGAAGACUCGAAGUGUGUGUAAGCGGCCUAUCUCAUUCAUUUCAUUUCCUUUAAUCAUGUCUGACAUCAAUCAUCAUCUCCCAUCCGCGCAAAGAUGGAUUUCAAACCUGGUUUUUCAGAACAUAGUUGGCAGCAUGCAUAUAUAUAAAUAAAAUUCAAUUAUCCAAUAAAAGCUAAUUGAUAUGUAAUAUGUUUGCAGUAUUCUAGCUUAGAUGGAUUUGUAGUCUACUUAAAACUUUUACUCCCACAAAUGUUAUGCAAGGAUUAGUUAUGCUAUAGUUAAGUGUUGAAUUUUGAGUUAGGUAUGGACAAUGAAGGUGAUAGAUUUUUCUGAUGUAUUACCUUCAUAACUUUGUCAUUUUUGGUAAAUGUGGUUGUAUUAUAUGAUAUGCACAC
rnacentral:lncRNA from 1 species